rnacentral:rRNA from 1 species
UACGAAGGGGGCUAGCGUUGCUCGGAAUUACUGGGCGUAAAGGGCGCGUAGGCGGACAGCUUAGUCAGAGGUGAAAGCCCAGGGCUCAACCUUGGAAAUGCCUUUGAUACUGAGGAUCUUGAGUACGGGAGAGGUGAGUGGAACUGCGAGUGUAGAGGUGAAAUUCGUAGAUAUUCGCAAGAACACCAGUGGCGAAGGCGGCUCACUGGCCCGUAACUGACGCUGAGGCACGAAAGCGUGGGGAGCAAACAGG